rnacentral:rRNA from 2 species
UGGAUCCAGACUUUGAUCAUGGCUCAGGAUGAACGCUAGCUACAGGCUUAACACAUGCAAGUCGAGGGGAAACGACAUCGAAAGCUUGCUUUUGAUGGGCGUCGACCGGCGCACGGGUGAGUAACGCGUAUCCAACCUGCCCACCACUUGGGGAUAACCUUGCGAAAGUAAGACUAAUACCCAAUGACGUCUCUAGAAGACAUCUGAAGGAGAUUAAAGAUUUAUCGGUGAUGGAUGGGGAUGCGUCUGAUUAGCUUGUUGGCGGGGUAACGGCCCACCAAGGCUACGAUCAGUAGGGGUUCUGAGAGGAAGGUCCCCCACAUUGGAACUGAGACACGGUCCAAACUCCUACGGGAGGCAGCAGUGAGGAAUAUUGGUCAAUGGACGAGAGUCUGAACCAGCCAAGUAGCGUGCAGGAUGACGGCCCUAUGGGUUGUAAACUGCUUUUAUAAGGGAAUAAAGUGAGUCUCGUGAGGCUUUUUGCAUGUACCUUAUGAAUAAGGACCGGCUAAUUCCGUGCCAGCAGCCGCGGUAAUACGGAAGGUCCGGGCGUUAUCCGGAUUUAUUGGGUUUAAAGGGAGCGUAGGCCGGAGAUUAAGCGUGUUGUGAAAUGUAGACGCUCAACGUCUGCACUGCAGCGCGAACUGGUUUCCUUGAGUACGCACAAAGUGGGCGGAAUUCGUGGUGUAGCGGUGAAAUGCUUAGAUAUCACGAAGAACUCCGAUUGCGAAGGCAGCUCACUGGAGCGCAACUGACGCUGAAGCUCGAAAGUGCGGGUAUCGAACAGGAUUAGAUACCCUGGUAGUCCGCACGGUAAACGAUGGAUGCCCGCUGUUGGUCUGAAUAGGUCAGCGGCCAAGCGAAAGCAUUAAGCAUCCCACCUGGGGAGUACGCCGGCAACGGUGCAACUCAAAGGAAUUGACGGA